GAAAAAUGGAGCAGUAUUCACUCUUACUUUUUCAUCUUUUAUUUGAUUCCUAUUUGCGUUAUUAUAAAGCAGCUUUAAGGGAAGUGACCCCGAAAGAAACAUAAUGACUUGCAUUGAUAUGCCCACUUUUAAUUAAAUUAUUAAUUCACAUUUGCAUUACUGUGAAACAACUUCAAGGAAAGUGGAUUUACAAUUUGUGGGACGACUUUGCUUUGACUUGCCAGCUUUUAAUUCUUUUUAGCUUCACAAUUCAUUGAUUCUCUUCUCACGGAAAUCAUCUGCUUGUUGCUGCUAUAUUUCUUCAGUGUGCUUGCUUCCUAAAUUUAACAAAGACUUUGAAAAGAUACAAGUAUCAUUUCACUGCCUCACUGAACAAGAGAUCAUCUGCUUGCUGCUGUUAUAUUUCUUGGCUGUUCUUGUUUCCCAAAUUUAAUAAAUACCUUCUGAGGAUACUAUUAUCAGCUAACAAUCUCCCUGAACCAGAAAAAAGUUUGGGAGGAGAUCUGCUUGUUGCUGUUUUCUUGACAAAUUUUGAAGGAGAUCUUAGUUUCUUGCUUUCACAAACUUAAGACCUUCUAC